UAAUAAGUGUUUAUGGCACUUUUUAAAUCCAUAUCCACCUUGUGUGCAAUGUCAGCCGAUCUUCUUCAUGGAGAUCGACCAAACAUCAACCUUUAUUUUUAACUCUUUGUCUGAAAAAUAUUAUGAAUAAACAAUUCAAAAUA
rnacentral:misc_RNA from 1 species